GACAGAGGGUGCGAACGUUGUUCGGAAUUACUGGGCGUAAAGGGCGCGUAGGCGGCCUGCUAAGUCGAACGUGAAAUCCCCGGGCUCAACCCGGGAACUGCGUCCGAUACUGGCAGGCUUGAAUCCGGGAGAGGGAUGCGGAAUUCCAGGUGUAGCGGUGAAAUGCGUAGAUAUCUGGAGGAACACCGGUGGCGAAGGCGGCAUCCUGGACCGGCAUUGACGCUGAGGCGCGAAAGCCAGGGGAGCAAACGGG
rnacentral:rRNA from 1 species